GACGAACGCUGGCGGCGUGCUUAACACAUGCAAGUCGAACGAUGAAGCUGGAGCUUGCUCCGGUGGAUUAGUGGCGAACGGGUGAGUAACACGUGAGCAAUCUGCCCUUGACUCUGGGAUAACUGCGGGAAACUGUAGCUAAUACCGGAUACUUUCCUUGGUGGGCAUCCACUGGGGAAGAAAGAAUUUCGGUCAAGGAUGAGCUCGCGGCCUAUCAGCUAGUUGGUGAGGUAAUGGCUCACCAAGGCGACGACGGGUAGCCGGCCUGAGAGGGUGACCGGCCACACUGGAACUGAGACACGGUACAGACUCCUACGGGAGGCGGCAGUGGGGAAUAGUGCACCAUGGGGGAAAGCCUGAUGCAGCAACGCCGCGUGAGGGACGAAGGCCUUCGGGUUGUAAACCUCUUUUAGCAGGGAAGAAGCGAAAGUGACGGUACCUGCAGAAAAAGCACCGGCUAACUACGUGCCAGCAGCCGCCGUAA
rnacentral:rRNA from 1 species